UUCAUCUUCCUGGUCUGAGACCAUUGACUCUGUAUUUAAAGCAGAAGACGACUUCACUGUGCUUCACACAUCGCUGGACUGAACAGUGACUACAAUGAGCAUCUUUUGGUUCAUAACUACACUGCUACUGCUGCACUCCUGCACCCCAGGAUCCUCCAUGGCCAGACACACACAUCAUCUGUGAAGCUACAUAUUCCCAUCCCCAUUGAGCACAGACUUUCUUAUUUUUAAUCUUCACGUUUGCCUCUCUGAGGGUCGGACUUGGAGCACCGCUAUUCGUCACAUCACCCCAGCCUGCAACACUGCAAGCAGUGCCCACACUGAUCUCCACAGGUGUUUUUGUGUGCAGCAGUCAAGACAAACUGAUCAGAAAUGAGGAAUCCUCCACAAAC